CCUACGGGUGGCAGCAGUGGGGAAUAUUGGACAAUGGGGGGAACCCUGAUCCAGCCAUGCCGCGUGUGUGAAGAAGGCCCUCGGGUUGUAAAGCACUUUCAGUGAUGAAGAACGCCUGGUGGUUAAUACCCAUCAGGAAAGACAUCACUCACAGAAGAAGCACCGGCUAACUCCGUGCCAGCAGCCGCGGUAAUACGGAGGGUGCGAGCGUUAAUCGGAAUUACUGGGCGUAAAGCGCGCGUAGGUGGCUUGAUAAGCCGGUUGUGAAAGCCCCGGGCUCAACCUGGGAACGGCAUCCGGAACUGUCAAGCUAGAGUGCAGGAGAGGAAGGUAGAAUUGCCGGUGUAGCGGUGAAAUGCGUAGAGAUCGGGAGGAAUACCAGUGGCGAAGGCGGCCUUCUGGACUGACACUGACACUGAGGUGCGAAAGCGUGGGUAGCAAACAGGAUUAGAUACCCCGGUAGUC
rnacentral:rRNA from 1 species